AUGCUGAGGAAAAGAAACCAACAGGGAUUGCCUCAGUAACGGCGAGUGAAGCGGCAAAAGCUCAAAUUUGAAAUCUAGCACCUUCGGUGUUCGAGUUGUAAUUUGAAGAUGGUAACCUUGGGUUUGGCUCUUGUCUAUGUUCCUUGGAACAGGACGUCAUAGAGGGUGAGAAUCCCGUCUGAUGAGAUGCCCAUUCCUAUGUAAGGUGCUAUCGAAGAGUCGAGUUGUUUGGGAAUGCAGCUCUAAGUGGGUGGUAAAUUCCAUCUAAAGCUAAAUAUUGGCGAGAGACCGAUAGCGAACAAGUACAGUGAUGGAAAGAUGAAAAGAACUUUGAAAAGAGAGUGAAAAAGUACGUGAAAUUGUUGAAAGGGAAGGGCAUUAGAUCAGACUUGGUGUUUUACGAUUAUCUUCUCUUCUUGAGUUGUGCACUCGUAUUUCACUGGGCCAGCAUCGAUUCGGAUGGCAAGAUAAUGGCAGUUGAAUGUGGCUUCACUUCGGUGGAGUGUUAUAGCUUCUGCUGAUAUUGCCUGUCUGGAUCGAGGGCUGCGUCUUUGACUAGGAUGCUG
rnacentral:rRNA from 1 species